GCAGGAGCAGCAGCAGGAGCGUCAGGGCGGCCCAGGGAACCUACAGGGGACAGAAACAAGAUUCCUCAACCCCCUCAGCUCCACGAACACCUCGUAGUGUGGGGCGGAACCCUCACAGGAGUCUGAGGACAAAGCCACCCAAACAGGCCACAAGCAGAAAGCAACGCCUCACUCUGAACGAUAGCUCCCCUCCUCUGAGCAUCUGGUCCUC